rnacentral:rRNA from 1 species
GUAAGGAAUAUUGGACAAUGGACGCAAGUCUGAUCCAGCCAUGCCGCGUGAAGGAUUAAGGUCCUCUGGAUUGUAAACUUCUUUUAUAAGGGACGAAAAAAGGCUUUUCUAAGUCGUCUGACGGUACCUUAUGAAUAAGCACCGGCUAACUCCGUGCCAGCAGCCGCGGUAAUACGGAGGGUGCAAGCGUUAUCCGGAUUCACUGGGGUUAAAGGGUGCGUAGGCGGGCAGGUAAGUCAGUGGUGAAAUCCUAGAGAUUAACUCUAGAACUGCCAUUGAUACUAUCUGUCUUGAAUAUUGUGGAGGUAAGCGGAAUAUGUCAUGUAGCGGUGAAAUGCUUAGAUAUGACAUAGAACACCUAUUGCGAAGGCAGCUUACUACGCAUAUAUUGACGCUGAGGCACGAAAGCGUGGGGAUCAAACAGGAUUAGAAACCCGAGUAGUCC